AUGUCGUAAGGGAAAAUAAUGAUAAUACCUUACUAUGAGUGUCGUCCAAAUCUGGUGCCAGAAGACUCGGUAAGACCAGAGACGCAAACGUUAAUCAUCAUAAACAGGCGUAAAGGGUUUGUAGGCAGCUAUCAGCAGACUAUAAUUUCAAAAUAAAGUAGUCUAAUUGUAUAGCUAGAAUCAAAAAGAGGUUAUAGUGUAUAACGCCUAGAGGAGGGCUGAUAUCCUUAGAUCCUAGGCAGAAUACUUAGGGCGAAGGCCACUUUCCACUAAUGAUUGACGCUGAGAAACGAAGGUUAGGGUAGGAAAUAGGAUUAGAUACCCCGGUACUCCUUUCUGUAAACGAUGAAUGGUAGUCAUUAGUU
rnacentral:rRNA from 1 species